rnacentral:rRNA from 1 species
GUGAGGAAUAUUGGUCAAUGGGCGAGAGCCUGAACCAGCCAAGUCGCGUGAAGGAUGAAGGUUUUAUGAAUUGUAAACUUCUUUUGCAGGGGAAUAAAGUACGGUACGUGUACCGUUUUGUAUGUACUCUGCGAAUAAGGAUCGGCUAACUCCGUGCCAGCAGCCGCGGUAAUACGGAGAAUCCAAGCGUUAUCCGGAUUUAUUGGGUUUAAAGGGUGCGCAGGCGGGUUGAUAAGUCAGCGGUGAAAGUUUGCAGCUUAACUGUAAAAUUGCCGUUGAAACUGUCGAUCUUGAGUGCAAAUGAGGUAAGCGGAAUGUGUUGUGUAGCGGUGAAAUGCUUAGAUAUAACACAGAACACCGAUUGCGAAGGCAGCUUACUGGGAUGCAACUGACGCUCAUGCACGAAAGCGUGGGGAUCAAACAGGAUUAGAAACCCCGGUAGUCC